rnacentral:rRNA from 1 species
GAUGGACGCUGGCGGCGUGCCUAAUACAUGCAAGUCGAGCGAACAGACGAGGAGCUUGCUCCUCUGACGUUAGCGGCGGACGGGUGAGUAACACGUGGAUAACCUACCUAUAAGACUGGGAUAACUUCGGGAAACCGGAGCUAAUACCGGAUAAUAUAUUGAACCGCAUGGUUCAAUAGUGAAAGACGGUUUUGCUGUCACUUAUAGAUGGAUCCGCGCCGCAUUAGCUAGUUGGUAAGGUAACGGCUUACCAAGGCAACGAUGCGUAGCCGACCUGAGAGGGUGAUCGGCCACACUGGAACUGAGACACGGUCCAGACUCCUACGGGAGGCAGCAGUAGGGAAUCUUCCGCAAAGGGCGAAAGCCUGACGGAGCAACGCCGCGUGAGUGAUGAAGGUCUUCGGAUCGUAAAACUCUGUUAUUAGGGAAGAACAAAUGUGUAAGUAACUAUGAACGUCUUGACGGUACCUAAUCAGAAAGCCACGGCUAACUACGUG